UUCCACACCCUUCCCACAAGGCCCUGAGGUAGAAACUGCAUUCCUCGGAUCCCUCUGAUUUCCUGGAGAAACGCGGCCCGUACCCUGACUUUGCUGAUGGGGUGUCGGAAGCAUUUGUUGUCGCCCGUCUCGCUGAGCGUUAUGGCAUAGAACUGUCCCUUGUUGAGGUGUCCUGACUGGAAAAGCACAGAAUGGGCAUUGCCAGGAAAGGAAAACCAGCAAUAUUAGAAGAUUUCAUGGAGACUGUGAACUUUGCUCCGACCCUUGGAGCCAAAGAGAACCCUUUACUGAAGAAAUUAAAAGAAAGUAAUCCGGGUGAGAGAGGACCACCAUGAUUCAAGACAAAAUGAUAGGUACAAAUGUGGUACAUAGAUGGAGUCAAGGACAUAGGCCUGCCCUGGUUAUGAAGGAAGGACCUGAAAGUCUACACUAGCCACUAGUCAAACGUGAAGUUGAUUAGAAUUAAAUAAAGUUAAACAUUCAGUUCCUCAGUCGACCAAAUACUACACUGACACAUGGAAGUAGUGGCUACCAUCUGGGACAGCAUAAAAGACAAUUUCCAUCGUUGCAGAAAGUUCUAUUGGACAGGACGAAUUUAUGAAAAGGUAUUUAUACUUAGUUCAGUUAAGAAUUAGGAAAAUUGGAGUAUGAGGAUAGCAUGAUAAAAAAUAUAUUUAAGGAAGUAUUUUAGAGAUAGAGGGGAUGCAUUUCUAAAGUCUUUGCAGGAAUAUGUAAUAACCUGCAACAACACAGGGUGAACCAGAAUUAAUAAACAUGGCCUUGA